GCGCUCGUAGCUCAAUCUAGGACAGAGCGGGACCUCUCCCGGGCAGAUGCAGGUUCGAGCCCUGCCGAGUGCACCA
rnacentral:tRNA from 1 species